rnacentral:rRNA from 1 species
AUGGGUGCUCGCGUCCCCGACCUUGCAGCGCUCUGCCCCGAUGCCAAGUCCCUCCUUACCGUUCCUGCGCAGCCGAGCCAAAGCCUCGCCCAAGUCCAAGCGCCGCCGCUGUUUGCCUCCUUGCCAUGGCCUCCCCUGCUUCGUCUGCUUCACCGACAGAGCUCUGUCUCCGUCAACGUGUCCUCCCGCCGUCUCUGUUCGCCGCCGGGCUCGAUCGACUCCAGCAGCACCCCCACGGUGAUGCUUCGCUCGGCACCCGAGGCUAACAUGGAAAGUGCUAUGGAGCAAGAGGUACCAGAAGGUGGAGAACAAAAGAGUGAUGUUGCUAUUGUUGCAAACCUUUUCUCACUAAAGAAUGUCCCUCCAACACGUUUCUCCCUCACUGGUUGUGUUGUUUUGGUUGGUGCCAUCUUAUGA